rnacentral:lncRNA from 1 species
UUCCACUCAAAAGAAGCCUUCUCCAACAGAAUAAAAAAGCCAUUUUUGUCUCUAUUCUUUGUUCAACGCUUAAAUGCAGAAAUGAUUCCAUACCAUACCAAGUUUACAUACAAAGCAGGCAUUAUAACUACUAAUGCUAUAAACAGAAAUCAAGAGGAAAAAGGAGCCCAGAAAUGGCAAAAUGAAAUAAUCAACUAUGAACUUAUAUUAUCAAUUGAAAAUUGGGACAAAGCAGUACAUCAUCAAAUACACCAUAUAAUUUCCUUGCUUACAUAAAUACGUAAAAUGCAUCUAUUUCCCCCAUUGAUUUCACCAUAUUCACUCUGCAUUUAGGGUUAUUUGACGACAUAGCACCUGCUUCUUCACAUAAUCUAAAUUCGCAUUAAAAAUAUUGAAAUUUUAGACCAAAAAACGUGUAAUAAUUCUUUUCUUCCACGGGUUAGAAAAAAUUAAAAGGAUUAUAUAUAGAGAUUUUUCUUUUUUCAAAUAAAAUUGUAAAAUCAUGCCUGGCUCCAUUCUGUCUGCCAUAUUCCACGCAGAAUAUCAAGGCAAAGGAGUUUUCCAAGUACUACAUUGCACUCCAUCCGUGAAAACCCCAAACCCACCUUGGAUUUAGAGAGACAUGUUCAGAUGGAACCUCUUUGUUGACAAGGGUCACUUCGUCAUCGCAUAGCAUGACCUUGCUGCUGUUUCUGCCGCCGCCGCCGCUGGUGAUGGUAGUGGCGGUGGUUUCAGAAUAAAAAACAGCCAUUUUACACCUUUUAGUGAGUGUUUUUAAAAUGAAACCACUUUACCGUUUCCCCACAACACAACGCUAACAAAACGUAGUCUCCUUUCUUCUUUCUCUUACAGGGAAUUUUAGAGAGAGAGAAAGAGAUUGAGAUUUGGAGCAGGGCGUUUGAUCAUCUUUGAGAGGAAAUGGGAAUGGAAACGUCAAAAGUAAGUUUUUGUAUUGGGAUUUGGAGUGGGGUUGGAGGGCGAAGGGUGUUUCGAGGGUAGCUUUUCACUUGGAAAUAUUGCAC